CCUACGGGAGGCAGCAGUGGGGAAUAUUGCACAAUGGGGGGAACCCUGAUGCAGCGACGCCGCGUGGGUGAAGGAGUAUUUCGGUAUGUAAAGCCCUAUCAGCAGGGAAGAACAAUGACGGUACCUGACUAAGAAGCACCGGCUAAAUACGUGCCAGCAGCCGCGGUAAUACGUAUGGUGCAAGCGUUAUCCGGAUUUACUGGGUGUAAAGGGAGCGCAGGCGGGGCGGUAAGCCUGGUGUGAAAGUCCGCGGCCCAACCGGGGGACUGCAUUGGGAACUGGCGCGCUGGAGUGCCGGAGGGGUAGGCGGAAUUCCUAGUGUAGCGGUGAAAUGCGUAGAUAUUAGGAGGAACACCAGUGGCGAAGGCGGCCUACUGGACGGUGACUGACGCUGAGGCUCGAAAGCGUGGGGAGCAAACAGGAUUAGAUACCCCAGUAGUC
rnacentral:rRNA from 1 species